UCGAUUAGCGUCGUUGAGCAGACGGAGGAGCCGCGACAGUGGCUCUACCUACAUCUAGCCGCCUUUGUAGAGCAGGUGAGACUAAAGCUUCCCGGACACUGGGAGCGCGUGCAGCUGUACACGUGGCAAUGUGCUGAACUACUCUGGCACUACGGCUGCGCCCUCUGGCAGUACCUGGCAGCGGUUGCCGUGGCGACGAACGCGUGGCUGCAGCAGAACGUGUUCACGGGAAGUCUUUCGAUAGAGAACAUACAGAAGACGCUGGUGCAGGUCGGCUUGGCGACACAGCAGCUGUUGUUACGAUGCUACAGCUGGCUGUACACGCUCGCGUUCAAAGCCUAGACGCGCCCGCACGUCGUCAUCGUCGCUGUUAGGUCGCGCUGCUGCUGGUGGCACGUCGGUGAGGGACACUCAGCUUGACUUGGCAGCGCACGGGGACAGAUCCUCCUCCUACCUACCACUGGUUUCCCGUUCGCGCGCUCACUCGCUUACGCUGUCAUCCGUGCUGGUAUCUGUGUGUGUGUGUGCGUGCGUCUGCACGCAGCACAACGUGUGUAUGUCCUGCAUUGUCAUGUGUGAGCGCACGUGUCGUGUGUGUGCGUUCGCGCGCGUGGCGUGUGUGUGCGUGCGCACACGUGGCGUGUGU